CAGGAAAUUUGUGUUUAACUCUCUAUCAAUUAAUUUAGCUGGCAAUUAGCAGCUACAGAUUGAAUUUUGCAGCCUGCAAGUGCAAAUAGAACGUGAGAAUAAAGUGUAGAAAUGAGCGGUCAAAGCGGAAAAUGCUGAACUGCGGUGGCGUCUUUCGUUUUAUGAGUUCGAAUGCAGCAUCCAUCCCGCACUGCUUUCUGUUUGUUUGUUAACACGGUCACUUUGUUAAAACGGUUGUGGCAACGAUACUUUGACCCACUGGAUUGAGCUCAGGUAGCAGAAACGAUCGCAGAAAGGACGCCGGGACAAUAUAAAUUUACCGUGCUGGGCACUUGCUGGAAACCGCGGUGUACAUUCGUCGAAUGUUCAGAUGGCGCUGAUAAAGAAAACCAACUAUACCCAGUUCGAGCGGCUUGUAGAGCUAAUGAAGAAAGAUGUCGAUCUUGCCAGGGGCAUUAGUGGAUUGGCAAGCAACAGACAGGAUAUCAAGAGAAAAUGGAACGAGAUAGCAUCGGAGUUAAACAACCUGGGCCCUCCUACGCGGGAUGCGUAUGAAUGGAAAAAAGUUUGGAUCGACACAAAAGCAAGAGUCAAAAGAAUCUUAGCAGAAAUAAACGAGGAGUCUAAUGGAGCACAUGCACGAUACAACAAGAUAAGGCAGCUCAAUCCCUGGCAUCAAGAAGUAAUAGCUCUACUGUCGAUCGACGGCAACACGCCGGGAAGCUCUGUUGAAAGUGAGGAGGAAAGCACGAAUGAUAUGAAGCCAAUUCCUGAAAUCCUCGAUCAACUAAUCAACGGAACCGUACCAUUGAUUGACCCAUUCGAAACAGUAACUGUGAUUCAGGACCCAAUCCAACCGAACCAACCCUCUCAUCAGCCGGAUCGUAAAAGUAAAACUUCCGAUAACCGAUUUGCUUUGCUCAAGAGACAGACGACGAUUCAAGAAGCAACGCUAAGUCGUUUGACAAAAAUUGAGGAAAACACCUGCGAAAUAGCUAAAUCCUUGAACAAACUGGUCAACGUGCAAGAGAAGCGCAAUGAACUCAUCGAAGUGGAGCUGAAACUGAAACGCAGGAAGCUCGAGCUCAAAGAAAAGGAGUUGGAUCGCAGCAAGUUGGAUGUAGCAAAAUAGGAUUAACAUAAGUUAUCAUCAUAUUUUUUUUAAACAUAUAUAAGGAAACUUAAGUUAUCAUCAUAUUUGGAAUCAAUAAAUACAUGCGAGUGUA